rnacentral:lncRNA from 1 species
AUAUUUUUAAUUCUAACGAUAUUUAUUUACUAUUGCAUCCAAGAAACAAACAACGAUUUAAUAGACAAGAUUACCGGAUUUUAAUGCUGAUGUAAUUACACAUUUGAAAAUAAAUCGCUGAAAAUUUACAUGAAAAGAUGUGCAGCAAACAGAAAUUCUGUUGUUGCUAUAGCGACAGCGUAGAAACGCAGACAUGCCGCAAUUCGAGCAUUUUUAACACAAUGUUACAUUUUUACAAAGUUACUGAACAAGUAUGGAUGGUUUGGGCAUGUAAUUCAGGCUUAUCCUAUAGGCACAUAAGAGAUCAUUUCACGGUGUUGUACCCUAGAAGACCUAUUCCAUCUGUGUCAAUAACUAAAUCUGUUGUUGAGAAAUUCGAAAAAGAUGGGAAUAUCAAUCCAGGUUUAGUGCCUGUUCUUCAC